rnacentral:rRNA from 1 species
GAUGAACGCUGGCGGCGUGCCUAAUACAUGCAAGUCGAGCGAAUGGAUUAAGAGCUUGCUCUUAUGAAGUUAGCGGCGGACGGGUGAGUAACACGUGGGUAACCUGCCCAUAAGACUGGGAUAACUCCGGGAAACCGGGGCUAAUACCGGAUAACAUUUUGAACCGCAUGGUUCGAAAUUGAAAGGCGGCUUCGGCUGUCACUUAUGAAUGGACCCGCGUCGCAUUAGCUAGUUGGUGAGGUAACGGCUCACCAAGGCAACGAUGCGUAGCCGACCUGAGAGGGGGAUCGGCCACGCUGGGACUGAGACACGGCCCAGACUCCGACGGGAGGCAGCAGUAGGGAAUCUUCCGCAAGGGACGAAAGUCUGACGGAGCAACGCCGCGUGAGUGAUGAAGGCUUUCGGGUCGUAAAACUCUGUUGUUAGGGAAGAACAAGUGCUAGUUGAAUAAGCUGGCACCUUGACGGUACCUAACCAGAAAGCCACGGCUAACUACGUGCCAGCCGCCGCCGUAA